CAUGCCUAAUACAUGCAAGUCGAACGAACACUUCGGUGUUAGUGGCGCACGGGUGCGUAACGCGUGGGAAUCUACCCUUGGGUUCGGAAUAACAGUGGGAAACUACUGCUAAUACCGGAUGAUGACGAAAGUCCAAAGAUUUAUCGCCCAAGGAUGAGCCCGCGUAGGAUUAGCUUGUUGGUGAGGUAAAAGCUCACCAAGGCGACGAUCCUUAGCUGGUCUGAGAGGAUGAUCAGCCACACUGGGACUGAGACACGGCCCAGACUCCUACGGGAGGCAGCAGUAGGGAAUAUUGGACAAUGGGCGAAAGCCUGAUCCAGCAAUGCCGCGUGAGUGAUGAAGGCCUUAGGGUUGUAAAGCUCUUUUACCCGGGAUGAUAAUGACAGUACCGGGAGAAU
rnacentral:rRNA from 1 species